rnacentral:rRNA from 1 species
GCUAUUUUAGGGGACCCUAUAGAAUACUCAAGCUAUGCAUCCAACGCGUUGGGAGCUUUCCCAUAUGGUCGACCUGCAGGCGGCCCGCGAAUUCACUAGUGAUUAGAGUUUGAUCCUGGCUCAGAACGAACGCUGGCGGCACGCCUAACACAUGCAAGUCGAGCGCUACCUUCGGGUGGAGCGGCGGACGGGUUAGUAACGCGUGGGAACGUACCCAGAUCUGCGGAAUAGCCUUUGGAAACGAAGAGUAAUACCGCAUACGCCCUUCGGGGGAAAGAUUUAUCGGAUUUGGAUCGGCCCGCGUAAGAUUAGAUAGUUGGUGGGGUAAUGGCCUACCAAGUCUACGAUCUUUAGCUGGUUUGAGAGGAUGAUCAGCAACACUGGGACUGAGACACGGCCCAGACUCCUACGGGAGGCAGCAGUGGGGAAUCUUAGACAAUGGGCGCAAGCCUGAUCUAGCGAUGCCGCGUGAGUGAUGAAGGCCUUAGGGUCGUAAAGCUCUUUCGCCUGUGAUGAUAAUGACAGUAGCAGGUAAAGAAACCCCGGCUAACUCCGUGCCAGCAGCCGCGGUAAUACGGAGGGGGUUAGCGUUGUUCGGAAUUACUGGGCGUAAAGCGCACGUAGGCGGAUUAAUAAGUCAGAGGUGAAAUCCCAGGGCUCAACCCUGGAACUGCCUUUGAUACUGUUAGUCUUGAGUUCGAGAGAGGUAAGUGGAAUUCCGAGUGUAGAGGUGAAAUUCGUAGAUAUUCGGAGGAACACCAGUGGCGAAGGCGACUUACUGGCUCGAUACUGACGCUGAGGUGCGAAAGUGUGGGGAGCAAACAGGAUUAGAUACCCUGGUAGUCCACACCGUAAACGAUGAAUGCCAGACGUCGGGUAGCAUGCUAUUCGGUGUCACACCUAACGGAUUAAG